UGACUUCCUAAGCUCACACUCCAUUCCUUCCCCCGCAGACCCGCUGCCCCCCAUUCCUCUGGAUUUUCCUGGCUCCUUCGACGUGCUGUCCCCCUCCCCGGACUCUGAAGGCCUCUCAUCUGUCUUCUCCUCGUCACUCCCAACCCCCACGAACUCCCCAUCCACCUCUCCCAGAGGCCCCACGGAUUCCUUGGACUGGUUAGAGGCCCUGAGUGGGGGUCCUCCACUGGGCUCUGGCCCUCCAGCCCCCAGCAUCUUCUCUGCUGACUUAUCUGACUCCAGUGGCACCCGGCUCUGGGACCUGCUGGAGGAUCCGUGGUGAUGGGUUCUGGAGUUUUACAGGGACCCAGAACUGGUGGGGGUGAAGAUGGCAAAGAGACUCCGGGAAGGGAAAUGGAACAACUAGUAGAGCCCCUCCCACCACAGACACCCAAUCCCAAUCUGGCCCCUAACUGCUGCUGACAUGCCGAAUGCCUGGACUUUGCCUUCCUACGGGCCUUACCCCCUCUAUGGUUGUGUGGUUGGGGAUGGAGGUUCAUUUGCUGC
rnacentral:lncRNA from 1 species